rnacentral:rRNA from 1 species
CUAUACAGUGAAACUGCGAAUGGCUCAUUAAAUCAGUUAUCGUUUAUUUGAUAGUACCUUACUACUUGGAUAACCGUGGUAAUUCUAGAGCUAAUACAUGCUAAAAAUCCCGACCUCCGGAAGGGAUGUAUUUAUUAGAUAAAAAACCAAUGCCCUCGGGCUCCUUGGUGAUUCAUAAUAACUUAACGAAUCGCAUGGCCUUGCGCCGGCGAUGGUUCAUUCAAAUUUCUGCCCUAUCAACUUUCGAUGGUAGGAUAGUGGCCUACCAUGGUUUCAACGGGUAACGGGGAAUUAGGGUUCGAUUCCGGAGAGGGAGCCUGAGAAACGGCUACCACAUCCAAGGAAGGCAGCAGGCGCGCAAAUUACCCAAUCCCAAUUCGGGGAGGUAGUGACAAUAAAUACUGAUACAGGGCUCUUUUGGGUCUUGUAAUUGGAAUGAGUACAAUUUAAAUCCCUUAACGAGGAACAAUUGGAGGGCAAGUCUGGUGCCAGCAGCCGCGGUAAUUCCAGCUCCAAUAGCGUAUAUUAAAGUUGUUGCAGUUAAAAAGCUCGUAGUUGAACCUUGGGUCUGGCUGCUCGGUCCGCCUAACCGCGUGCACUGAUGCGGCCGGAUCUUUCCUUCUGGCUAACCUCAUGCCCUUUACUGGGUGUGCUGGGGAUCCAGGACUUUUACUUUGAAAAAAUUAGAGUGUUCAAAGCACGCCUUUGCUCGAAUACAUUAGCAUGGAAAUAAUAGAAUAGGACGGCGGUUCUAUUUUGUUGGUUUCUAGAGCCACCGUAAUGAUUAAUAGGGAUAGUCGGGGCAUCAGUAUUCAAUUGUCAGAGGUGAAAUUCUUGGAUUUAUUGAAGACUAACUACUGCGAAAGCAUU